CCUACGGGCGGCAGCAGUGAGGAAUAUUGGUCAAUGGGCUUACGCCUGAACCAGCCAAGUCGCGUGAGGGAAGACUGCCCUAUGGGUUGUAAACCUCUUUUGUCAGGGAGCAACGCCCGCUACGUGUAGCCGGACGGAGAGUACCUGGAGAAAAAGCAUCGGCUAACUCCGUGCCAGCAGCCGCGGUAAUACGGAAGGUCCGGGCGUUAUCCGGAUUUAUUGGGUUUAAAGGGAGCGUAGGCCGGCUUUUAAGUCAGCUGUGAAAGCCCGCGGCUCAACCGUGGAAUUGCAGUUGAAACUGGAAGCCUCGAGUUGACACAGAGAUGCCGGAAUGCAUGGUGUAGCGGUGAAAUGCAUAGAUAUCAUGAAGAACUCCGAUUGCGAAGGCAAGUGUCCGG
rnacentral:rRNA from 1 species